rnacentral:rRNA from 1 species
CCUACGGGUGGCAGCAUUGAGGAAUAUUGGUCAAUGGACGAGAGUCUGACCCAGCCAAGUAGCGUGAAGGAUGACUGCCCUAUGGGUUGUAAACUUCUUUUAUAUGGGAAUAAAAUGUUCCACGUGUGGGAUUUUGUAUGUACCAUAUGAAUAAGGCUCGGCUAACUCCGUGCCAGCAGCCGCGGUAAUACGGAGGAUCCGAGCGUUAUCCGGAUUUAUUGGGUUUACAGGGAGCGUAGGUGGAUUGUUAAGUCAGUUGUGAAAGUUUGCGGCUCAACCGUAAAAUUGCAGUUGAACAUGGCAGUCUUGAGUACAGUAGAGGUGGGCGGAAUUCGUGGUGUAGCGGUGAAAUGCUUAGAUAUCACGAAGAACUCCGAUUGCGAAGGCAGUUCACUGGACUGCAACUGACACUGAGGCUCGAAAGUGUGGGUAUCAAACAGGAUUAGAUACCCUUGUAGUC